UACGUAUGGAGCAAGCGUUAUCCGGAAUUACUGGGUGUAAAGGGAGCGUAGACGGACUUGCAAGUCUGAUGUGAAAGGCGGGGGCUCAACCCCUGGACUGCAUUGGAAACUGUAGGUCUUGAGUGCCGGAGAGGUAAGCGGAAUUCCUAGUGUAGCGGUGAAAUGCGUAGAUAUUAGGAGGAACACCAGUGGCGAAGGCGGCUUACUGGACGGUAACUGACGUUGAGGCUCGAAAGCGUGGGGAGCAAACA
rnacentral:rRNA from 1 species